GAUGACGCUGGCGGCGUGCCUAACACAUGCAAGUCGAGCGCGAUUAGUUGGAACGGCGACUUCGGUCAAAGGGAAGACUAUGAAAGCGGCGGACGGGUGAGUAACGCGUGAGCAACCUGCCCUGUACAGGGGGAUAGCCACUGGAAACGGUGAUUAAUACCCCAUAACCCCAUUGGAUCGCAUGGUCUGAUGGGCCAAGCCUUGGCGGUACAGGAUGGGCUCGCGUCUGAUUAGCUAGUUGGUGAGGUAAYGGCUCACCAAGGCUUCGAUCAGUAGCCGACCUGAGAGGGUGAACGGCCACACUGGAACUGAGACACGGUCCAGACUCCUACGGGAGGCAGCAGUGGGGAAUAUUGCACAAUGGGCGCAAGCCUGAUGCAGCAACGCCGCGUGAGUGAAGAAGGCCUUCGGGUCGUAAAACUCUGUCCUAAGGGAAGAAGAAGUGACGGUACCUUAGGAGGAAGCCCCGGCUAACUACGUGCCAGCAGCCGCGGUAAUACGUAAGGGGCAAGCGUUAUCCGGAAUCACUGGGCGUAAAGGGUGCGUAGGCGGCUGAUCAAGCCAGGGGUGAAAGGCCGUGGCUUAACCAUGGUAAGCCUUUGGAACUGGUCAGCUUGAGUGCAGGAGAGGAAAGCGGAAUUCCUAGUGUAGCGGUGAAAUGCGUAGAUAUUAGGAGGAACACCCGUGGCGAAGGCGGCUUUCUGGACUGUAACUGACGCUGAGGCACGAAAGCGUGGGGAGCAAACAGGAUUAGAUACCCUGGUAGUCCACGCUGUAAACGAUGAAUACUAGGUGUCGGGGGUCAAAGCCCGGUGCCGCAGCUAACGCAU
rnacentral:rRNA from 1 species